GCACUGCUGAAUAGUUCUACAAUAGGACGAAACGGCCGUCCAGUAC
rnacentral:hammerhead_ribozyme from 1 species